rnacentral:rRNA from 1 species
AUAUCAAUAAGCGGAGGAAAAGAAACCAACAGGGAUUGCCUCAGUAACGGCGAGUGAAGCGGCAAAAGCUCAAAUUUGAAAUCCUUCGGGAGUUGUAAUUUGAAGGUGAAGGGACCGCGGUAGAUGAUGAUUAAAGUCCCUUGGAACAGGGCGCCUUAGAGGGUGAGAGCCCCGUACAGUCAUCCAUCUUCCUCUUAUGUUCUUUCUCCAAAGAGUCGAGUUGUUUGGGAAUGCAGCUCAAAGUGGGUGGUAAAUUCCAUCUAAAGCUAAAUACCGGCGAGAGACCGAUAGCGAACAAGUACCGUGAGGGAAAGAUGAAAAGCACUUUGAAAAGAGAGUGAAACAGUACGUGAAAUUGUUGAAAGGGAAGGGCUUGCAAGCAGACACAACCCUCGUGGUUGGGCCAGCAUCGGUUGCUAGGGGUGGAUAAGGCGGCGGGAAUGUAGCUUCCUCGGAAGUAUUAUAUCCCGCUGAGAUACACCCACCGGCGACCGAGGCCUGCGAUUCUAAAUCAAGGAUGC